ensembl:misc_RNA Y_RNA Y RNA
AUCUGGUCCGAUGGUAGUGGACCAGAUUAGUGUCACUGAAAGUUAGUAUUCAACCCCUCACUGCUAAAUUUGACUGGCUUUUU